GACGAACGCUGGCGGCGUGCUUAACACAUGCAAGUCGAACGAUGAACCCGGAGCUUGCUCUGGGGGAUUAGUGGCGAACGGGUGAGUAACACGUGAGUAACCUGCCCUGGACUCUGGGAUAAGCGUUGGAAACGACGUCUAAUACCGGAUAGGACCUUGGAUCGCAUGAUCUGGGGUGGAAAGUUUUUUCGGUCUGGGAUGGACUCGCGGCCUAUCAGCUUGUUGGUGAGGUAAUGGCUCACCAAGGCGUCGACGGGUAGCCGGCCUGAGAGGGUGACCGGCCACACUGGGACUGAGACACGGCCCAGACUCCGGCGGGAGGCAGCAGUGGGGAAUAUUGCACAAUGGGCGAAAGCCUGAUGCAGCAACGCCGCGUGCGGGAUGACGGCCUUCGGGUUGUAAACCGCUUUUAGUAGGGAAGAAGGGCUUCGGCUUGACGGUACCUGCAGAAAAAGGACCGGCUAACUACGUG
rnacentral:rRNA from 1 species